UAGGGAAUCUUCCACAAUGGACGCAAGUCUGAUGGAGCAACGCCGCGUGAGUGAAGAAGGUUUUCGGACCGUAAAGCUCUGUUGUUGGUGAAGAAGGAUAGAGGUAGUAACUGGCCUUUAUUUGACGGUAAUCAACCAGAAAGUCACGGCUAACUACGUGCCAGCAGCCGCGGUAAUACGUAGGUGGCAAGCGUUGUCCGGAUUUAUUGGGCGUAAAGCGAGCGCAGGCGGAAGAAUAAGUCUGAUGUGAAAGCCCUCGGCUUAACCGAGGAAUUGCAUCGGAAACUGUUUUCUGAGUGCAGAAGAGGAGAGUAGAACUCCAUGUGUAGCGGUGGAAUGCGUAGAUAUAUGGAAGAAUACCAGUGGCGAAGGCGGCUCUCUGGUCUGCAACUGACGCUGAGGCUCGAAAGCAUGGGUAGCGAACAGGAUUAGAUACCCUGGUAGUCCAUGCCGU
rnacentral:rRNA from 1 species